rnacentral:rRNA from 1 species
CCCAGACUCCUACGGGAGGCAGCAGUGGGGGAUAUUGCACAAUGGGGGAAACCCUGAUGCAGCGACGCCGCGUGAGUGAAGAAGUAUUUCGGUAUGUAAAGCUCUCUCAGCAGGGAAGAAAAAAGACGGUACCUGACUAAGAAGCCCCGGCUAACUACGUGCCAGCAGCCGCGGUAAUACGUAGGGGGCAAGCGUUAUCCGGAUUUACUGGGUGUAAAGGGAGCGUAGACGGCAAUACAAGUCGGAAGUGAAAUACCCGGGCUCAACCUGGGAACUGCUUUGGAAACUGUAUGGCUGGAGUGCUGGAGAGGUAAGCGGAAUUCCUAGUGUAGCGGUGAAAUGCGUAGAUAUUAGGAGGAACACCAGUGGCGAAGGCGGCUUACUGGACAGUAACUGACGUUGAGGCUCGAAAGCGUGGGGAGCAAACAGGAUUAGAUACCCGAGUAU